AUUGAACGCUAGCGGCAGGCUUUACACAUGCAAGUCGAACGAGUGGCGGACGGGUGCGUAAUGUCUGGGAAAGUGCCCGUUGGCGGGGGAUAACUACUGGAAAGAGUAGCUAAUACCGCAUACUAUUGGAGGUGCCCGGAUGGGAUUAGCUAGUAGGUGGGGUAAAGGCUCACCUUGGCAACGAUCCGUAGCUGGUCUGAGAGGACGACCAGCCACAGUGGAACGUAGACACUGUCCAGACUCCUACGGGAGGCAGCAGUGGGGAAUUUUGGACAAUGGGGGAAAGCCUGAUGCAGCGAUGCCGCGUGUAUGAGGAAGGCCUGCGGGUUGUAAAGUACUUUCGGCAGUGAGGCGUUACCCGCAGAAUAGGCCCCGGCUAACUCCGUGCCAGCAGCCGCGGUAAUUC
rnacentral:rRNA from 1 species